AGGCCUGUUUUGGCCUGGCUGCAACUGACUCCUGGAGAUUGUCUCCAGCCACAUAUUUUGAAGGUUUCUCACCAUUGCUACAGGCUAUAGGACAAUUUUCCUCUAUUCCUGCUCCAUCUACCAGUAGUGCUUACUGGAAAUCAGCUUUCCAUACCUUUCCUCCCAGUUGCUGCUUCUCCUACUGUCCUGAACCAUCUGCCCACCAGCAUUCUCCAGGGUUGUCCUAUUGUGAGCCACCCCAGUAGGCAUCCUUGAUGCAAAGACCACAUUCUCAUCUCAACUGAGCAAGAAUAAUAAUAGAAAUUAUAAUAUUGCUUAUUUGAUAUUAAUUCAAAGCAUAGCUACAGAACAGAGCUCUUUAGACCCAAGUCAGUCUGACUCAAAAGCUGGUGCACUCCGCCAUCUCCCUAUACACACAUGUACGUACUACGAUAACCUCCUUAAUGUUUUCCAAUAAUCUCUACUCUGGGUUCUUAGUUCAUCCCCAGGGAUCUCUCCAGGAGCUCAAGGUUUCUCUACUUGCAGAUGGCCCUAAACACCUCUGGAGUUUCUGUUGUCUUGAAAAGAGCAAGAGGGACAAUAAAUACUAUGUGUAUUAGGAAGAGGAAAGCAAAUGGGGUUGGGAAUGCUGAAAGAGUUGGGACUAGAAAUGUAUUCUGAAGGAGGACAAUGCAGGCUUCCCCCCAAGGAAUGGAAGAUGAGAAGCCAGAUUCCCUGGUUCCUGCCCACUGUGUGACCCAGAGCAGCUCUAUAUUAGAUCAUUAGCUGCUUCCAGGAUCAUCAUUUCUUUUUCUCCAUGAUUCAUUGACUGUUAAAUGCAACCAUUUCUUCACCCUGUCAUUGUAGAGCACUUAAUCCAAAAUUUUAUUGAAAUCAAGAGAUGUUUUCCUUGCUUUUACAUUGGGAGCAGAAUACGAUUCCUUUGAACACUUCCAAAGUUCAUUUUUGUUUCUCAGUGACUGCUUUCAAGUUUUCAAACAAGAAAGGAUUUUGUUUUUCUCUGGCUAAAGCUUAUUUUUACCCAGCCUUGGUUUUCUUUCCUUUCCUUUAAAAAUCCUCAGCACAUCUAAGUACACUAAAUAUUUAUGAAUGUAAUUUAUGAGCUUUGGCCGUUUACUCCUUGCCAAAACUAAAAAGUAUGUCUGUGUGUGGCCUGAAAAAUCCCAACUAUGACAAAACCAAAACAGAGAAAUGAGCAACUACUUCACAUAAAAAAAGGGAAAAAGAGGUCAAACUUCACAAAAGUCCAGAAAUUACUCACUUGACAUAUUCAGACUGGCACAAAGGAAAAUAAAUAAUAUUACAUCUCCUCCAAGAACCUUGUCCUGUAUGUCCUGCCUCAGAUGUCCUGCAGUAAACAUUUAUUGAGAGCAUCAGGAGGGAAAACGGCCCAGGCAUCUGAAAGACAGAGGCCUGCAGCUUGCUGGGCAGCUAGGGCCCAGGGUGCUGCCCACCUCAGCCCUGUCCCCCAAAGCCUGUGUCAGCUGCGUAUCCUGAGCGCUUAACUGUGCAGGAAGGGAAGUCAGCAGAUCUCUAAUGAAUUCCUGAUCUGACUCCAAUCCCUCCCUUCCUUGAACACAUUUCUGUGGAGAAUCAAAACCCA
rnacentral:lncRNA from 1 species